rnacentral:rRNA from 1 species
AUUGAACGCUGGCGGCAUGCCUUACACAUGCAAGUCGAACGGCAGCACGGGAGCAAUCCUGGUGGCGAGUGGCGAACGGGUGAGUAAUACAUCGGAACGUGUCCAGUUGUGGGGGAUAGCCCGGCGAAAGCCGGAUUAAUACCGCAUACGACCUACGGGUGAAAGCGGGGGAUCGCAAGACCUCGCGCUAUUGGGGCGGCCGAUGUCAGAUUAGCUUGUUGGUGGGGUAAAAGCCUACCAAGGCGACGAUCUGUAGCUGGUCUGAGAGGACGACCAGCCACACUGGGACUGAGAAACGGCCCAGACUCCUACGGGAGGCAGCAGUGGGGAAUUUUGGACAAUGGGCGCAAGCCUGAUCCAGCCAUGCCGCGUGCGGGAAGAAGGCC